rnacentral:ncRNA from 1 species
GUAUUAUAAACUAGCAAGUUGUUUAUACAACCGGGCCAAAGGGCAACAGAAUUUUCUGUGGGACAGUU